rnacentral:lncRNA from 1 species
GAAAUGGGUGUACAGCUCCCUUCUCAGAUGGGGGUUGGAGGGUUGGAGGUAAUGUUAUGCGGAAGUUUUUUUUACACUGCUGAAUGGUGUAGAGAUGUUGGUUAUUCUUGCAAAAAUCAAUUGCUCUCAGCACUUGUCCCUCCAGUCUUUCAUUCUUUCCUUUCUCCCUUGUUUUCUCAGAUUCCUAUUCUAUCUUUGCCUCUGCCGAAAGCCCGCCCGUGUCCUCUGUGGUACUCAUCUUUCUGCCCCAGAGUUGUCUUAAGCGGGGUGAAUUCAUCCUCCCCAAAUUCUUGUCUGUUUCUUAAGAACUCUAAAAAUGCAACCGGAUGGACUACUGCUUGUUGAUACAGUGAACUGGAUGUGAAUUUCAAAUAGUGAUUGUUUGCUUCGAUUUUGUUUACUCCUUAAUCUUCUGGGGUCAGGUUAACCAAGCUUCUCUCUAUCAAAGACAAACUCCUUGCUUGAAGUUUUGAGGAAUCUUCCCCAGAAACCACAACUGUGGUGGCAGGGACCACAUCCCCUGCAUGGAACGUCCCUGGAUGUUGCGGCAUGGCAGGCACCAACCAUUUCCUCACAGUGCCUCUUGUUCUUUUCAAUUGCCUCUUCGUGUACUUUUUCUUUCCAUUUAGGCAAUUUGAAGUAGAAGCAUGCGCCACUCUGCAUAAUAAUGUAUUAUAAAGGCAUUUCAAGGAAUGAGUUAUUAGAAUUGUUUACAUGCAUGGUUCAAAUUUACUGGCAAAUUGCUAGGGCCUCGGUUUUAUGAUGGAGCUGCCAGCCAGGCUCCUUCUGGAUAAAACUCUGAAACAGGAGAAGUUGCCCUUUGCUAUGGCUCACCAGCACUCUCUCUGCCCUGUUCCUGCCUUUUCAGCACCUCCCUCCUUGCCCGCCCCCAAAUACCUCUGUGCGGCUCUCAGGCCUUUUGGACCUUCGUGGGAAGAUACUCUGUGGGUCCUUCCCAGGCCCAUCCCCAUCAAAGUUCCUGGACUGCCGGGGAAGGGAGUCGGAGCUCCUGCAGCAGAGGGCGGAGCAGCCACAAGAAAAUGCAAAACAGGCCAAGAAUAACAGGGCUUUCCAGAUGAGGGGCAUGCUAGAGCCAGCAUCACCACUGGGGUAGGGUAUCUCAUUCUUAGUUUUACAACCUAAAA